AUGGACUACGUCGGGACCGACCUCCACGCUUUCCUGUCCGAGAGGCCGCCGCUCCCGGAGGCCAUCGUGAAAGCCUACAUGUGGCAGCUCCUCACCGGCGCCAACAAGAUGCACAGCAAGCAUCACAUCCUCCACCGCGAUAUCAAGCCCCACAACAUCCUCGUCGGGGAAGGAGGAACGAUCCUCAAGUUUUGCGACCUUGGGCUGGCCAUGUCCUUGAAGACCGCGAGGAAGCCUUACGAGUUUGCCGGCACCGUGCCCUACAUGGCGCCCGAGAUGCUCCUCGGGAAGCCGGACUACGACGCGGGCGUCGACGUGUGGUCGCUGGGAUGCGUCAUGGCCGAGAUGCUCACCGGCGAGAUGCUGUUCAAGGCCGACAAAAAGGACGACAGGAUCGCCCAGCUCUCGGCUAUCUUCGGCGUUCUCGGCCUCCCGGACGAGAGGACGUGGCCGGAGUUCGUCGCGGCCAAGGUGCCGCGAGUGUUCUACGCGCAGGCGCAGCAGCACAACACGCUGGGGAACCUCUUCCCCCGUGAGACCUUGUCCAAGGACGGCUUCCAAGUCUUGAAAGGGCUUCUCUCCUUCUCGAGUGCAACCCAGCUAAGCGGCUGA
rnacentral:rRNA from 1 species